rnacentral:lncRNA from 1 species
GAUAUAGUAUGGAAGUCCAGGUUGUACCCAUUCUACGUCCCUGGCACGAUGUAAGAGAAAGUCCAGGUUGUACCCAUUCUACGUCCCUGGCACAUUGGUAUGUUAUGAUAUGUUAUGAUAAGGGAAAGACCGGUUGUACCCAUUCUACGUCCCGGCACAGUUGGACUAUGUAGAGGACUAUUGGUGACAAUACCAUCCGAGAUG